rnacentral:rRNA from 1 species
GACGUAGGGGGCGAGCGUUGUCCGGAAUUACUGGGCGUAAAGAGCACGUAGGCGGAUAUUUAAGUCAGGUGUGAAAGACCGCAGCUCAACUGCGGGGUUGCACCUGAAACUGGGUAUCUUGAGGGCAGGAGAGGACAGUGGAAUUCCAGGUGUAGCGGUGAAAUGCGUAGAAAUCUGGAGGAACACCAGUGGCGAAGGCGACUGUCUGGACUGACCCUGACGCUGAGGUGCGAAAGCGUGGGUAG